CCGCCCGGGCCCGCGCCUUCCCUGGCCCAGGCCUCCAUGGCCACCAACCCGCAGCCGCAGCCUCCUCCUCCGGCGCCGCCGCCUCCCCCGCCGCAGCCACAGCCGCAGCCGCCGCCGCCGCCGCCGGGCCCCGGGGCUGGCGCGGGUGCGGCGGGCGGCGCGGGGGCCGGCGCCGGAGACCCGCAGCUCGUGGCCAUGAUCGUGAACCACCUCAAGAGCCAGGGGCUCUUCGACCAGUUCCGCAGGGACUGCCUGGCCGACGUGGACACCAAGCCUGCCUAUCAGAACCUGAGGCAACGGGUUGACAACUUUGUUGCAAACCACUUGGCAACUCAUACAUGGAGUCCCCACCUUAAUAAGAACCAGCUAAGAAACAACAUUAGGCAGCAAGUGCUCAAAUCAGGAAUGUUGGAGUCUGGUAUUGACCGAAUUAUUUCUCAGGUUGUGGAUCCAAAGAUCAACCACACAUUCAGACCUCAAGUGGAGAAAGCUGUGCAUGAGUUUUUGGCCACACUAAAUCACAAAGAGGAAGCAAGUAGCAGCACAGCCCCCGACGAUGAGAAACCAGACUCUUCCCUCAUUACACAAGGUGUCCCAGCUCCUGGACCCAGCGCUAAUGUAGCCAAUGAUGCCAUGUCAAUCUUGGAAACCAUAACUUCUCUUAACCAAGAAGCCAGUGCGGCCAGGGCUUCGACAGAAACGUCAAAUGCCAAGACCAGUGAGAGAGCAUCCAAAAAACUCCCUUCUCAGCCAAGCAUUGACACUAGUACUGAAAAAGAGAGAACUUCAGAGGACAUAGCCGAUAAAGAAAAAUCUACACCCGACUCUGCCGGGGAAGGACAGGAGACAGCCCCUAAGUCCGAAGAAUUUACUGAUCUCCCUUGUCCAGUUGAAGAAAUUAAAAAUCACACAAAAGAGAGCAAUAGUUCAAUUCUGCUAAAUAAAGAUGUUCAACAGGAAAGCGGUGACCAAAAAAACAAAUCAACAGACAAAGGUGAAAAGAAGCCAGAGAGCAAUGACAAAGGAGAAAGAAAGAAAGAAAAGAAGGAAAAGAUCGAAAAGAAAUUUGAUCACUCAAAAAGGAGUGAGGACGUACAAAAAGUGAAAGAGGAAAAGCAAGCAAAGGAAAAAGAAGUAGAAUGUUCAAAACUCCCCUCAGAAAAGAACAGUAAUAAAGCUAAAAGCUUUGAAGGGACAAAAGAAGAUUGCUCUUUGAUAGAUUCUGAUGUGGAUGGACUUACAGACAUCACAGUUAGCUCUGUCCAUACCAGUGACCUUUCCUCUUUUGAAGAAGACACCGAGGAGGAAGUUGUAAUGUCUGAUAGCAUGGAAGAAGGAGAGAUUACAUCAGAUGAUGAGGAGAAGAACAAACAGAACAAAACAAAAAUUCAAACCAGUGAUCCCAGUGAAGGAAAAGCAAAAAGUGUACGGCAUGCUUAUGUUCACAAACCAUAUCUUUACUCAAAGUAUUACAGUGAUUCUGACGAUGAGCUUACUGUAGAACAACGGCGCCAGUCAAUUGCUAAAGAAAAAGAAGAGAGGCUUUUAAGAAGGCAAAUUAAUAGAGAGAAACUUGAAGAAAAACGAAAGCAGAAAGCUGAAAAGACAAAGUCUUCGAAAGCUAAGAUUCAAGGCAAAAAUAGUGUAGAUUUAGAAGAAUCAUCAACAAAGAGUGUAGAACCUAAACCCCCCAGAAUUAAAGAAGUCCUUAAAGAACGGAAAGUUUUAGAGAAAAAAGUAGCCUUAAGCAAAAAAAGAAAGAAAGAUUCAAGGAAUGUUGAAGAGAAUUCUAAAAAGAAACCUCAAUCUGAAGAAGAUUCCAAAGAAACUCUCAAGACAAGUGAGCAUUGUGAAAAGGAAAAGGUGUCUUCGUCAAAGGAUCUGAAGCAUGUUCAUGUAAAAAGUGAACCAAGUAAACCUGCCCGGAGACUUUCAGAAUCUUUGCAUUCAGCUGACGAAAACAAAAAUGAAUCCAAAAUAGAAAGAGAACAUAAAAGACGCACAUCUACCCCUGUUGUGGUGGAAGGGGCACAGGAAGAUCCUGAUACAAGAGAUGGGAAAAGGCAAGUGGAACGGUCAGAAAUUGGUACAGAAGAGCCCCAGAAACAGAAAAGCACACUUAAAAAUGAAAAGCAUCUAAAAAAAGAUGAUUCUGAAAUACCACAUGUGAAAAGCCUACCUAAGAAAGAGGCAAAAUCCUCCAAGGAGAAGCCUGAAAAAGAGAAGACUCUGUCAGAAGACAAAUUGUCUACAAAACAUAAGUAUAAAGGUGACUGUCUGCAUAAAACAGGUGAUGAGACUGAGCUUCACUCUUCGGAGAAAGGUUUAAAAGUGGAUGAAAAUAUUCAAAAGCAAAGUCAGCAAACAAAACUUUCUUCAGAUGAUAAAACUGAACGAAAAAGUAAACAUAAGAAUGAAAGGAAAUUAUCAAUUUUAGGCAAAGAUGGAAAGCCAGUUUCUGAAUAUAUUAUAAAAACAGAUGAGAAUGUUCGUAAAGAAAACAAUAAAAAAGAGAGGCACAUGUCAGCCGAGAAGACUAAGGCAGAACACAAAUCAAGAAGAUCAAGUGAUUCUAAAAUUCAGAAAGAUUCUCUGAGUUCCAAGCAACAUGGAAUCACAUUACAGAGAAGAAGUGAAAGUUAUUCAGAGGAUAAGUGUGAUACAGACUCAUCUAAUUUAGAUAGUAAUUCAAAACCAGAAGAGGUGGUUCACAAGGAGAAGCGAAGAACAAAGAGCCUACUAGAAGAGAAACUUAUGUUAAAGUCUAAACCAAAAAGUCAAGGCAGACAGUUAAAAGUAGUUGAAACGGAAUUACAAGAAAGUGUCACAAAACAGGCGGCCACUCCAAAACCAGAUAAGGAGAAGAACACAGAAGAGAUCGACCCAGAUAGACAGAGAAAGUCUAAAGCCGAAGACAAACCUUUUGAGGAAACUGGGGUUGAAACUGUAUUGGACAGUGCCACUUCCUCAGCACAUGGUACACAGAAGGAUUCUAGUCACAGAGCAAAGUUACUGUUAGCAAAGGAGAAAUAUAAGGCUGAUAAGGAUUCAGGCUCCUCCAGACCCGAGAGGAAGUUAUCAGAUGGGCACAAAAGCAGAAGCUUAAAGCACGGUAGUAAGGAAAUAAAAAAGAAGGAAGAAAAUAAAUCAGAUGACAAGGAUGGUAAAGAAGUUGACGGUAAUCAUGAAAAGACCAGAGGGAGUAGUUCGGUUAUGGAAAAGAAAUUAAGUAGAAGGUUGUGUGAAAACCGAAGAGGAAGCUUAUCCCAAGAAAUGACCAAAGGAGAAGAAAAAUCAGCAGACUUCUUGAGUACUCCCAAUAGUUCCUCUGUUCAGAAACCAAAAAGGGGCAGUGAUACCACAUUAAUGCCUGAACAAGAGCCAAUGGAAAUUGAUUCUGAGCCAGCUGUUGAAAAUGCAUUUGAAGCAUCUAAAACCCAAGACAGCGGCAAUAGUAGUUCUCAGCAAGACAUUGACUCUGAAAAUGUUAUGAAACAAAAAACCACUAUCAUGGUUCUAAAGGAUGAAUUAAGAACUUCCACAGUAGAUUCAAAAACGGCAGCUCCAGCCUAUAAAUCAGGACGUGGAACAGGAGUUGUUAGUAAUUCUGAAAAGCACACUAACCAUAAGGGCACCCUGACCAGGAAAGUGCAUAUCCAAAGUGCUGUGUCCAAACUGAACCCUGGGGAGAAAGAACCCAUUCAACAGGGAACUCAUGAAACCAAUACAGACUCUGAAACUAGUCCUAGACUAUUGUCUCGAGCCCCAUCAGAAAAUGAUAGGGCACAAAAGAAUUUGAAAAACACAACCCGACCCACUGAAGAACAUGUUGCUCAGGGAGAUGCUGGUCAUGAACAUUCCCUAAAUUCAGAUCUUUCACCGUCCUUAAGUUCAGUAACUGUGAUGCCUCAGAAACAGUCUCGUGAUACAGAUGUAAGUCCUUUGAUUGACAAAAGGACUGUUUUAGAAGGUGGCACAGCCAGCACCUCCCUUGUGGAGCACUCUGAUACUCCUAACCAAAGUCUGACUGUUAGGGAAUCAGAAGUCCCUAGGACAAGAGACAGCAAAGAAAGUGGGGCAGUUUCCACAGUAGAUACGCUGGCAAAAGCAAGCAUGGAUGGCAGAAGACACAUUCCAGAAGGUUUCCAGCCUGCUGUGCUGCACACUAAACAAGGAAAAGUAAAUGUGCCUGUUGGUAGCAAGUUAAUAGAUGUGAAUACGGAAAAUGGGAAUGCUCCCAAAGAAGGCGGCUUGAUGGACAUGGCCAGGAAAGAAAGUGACUUGAACACAGAGCCCAGUUCAAAGCAGACAACGAGAGCUGUCCUAGAAAAUGGCAAAAAGCAUGGCAUCACUGUUGACCCUGUGGUAGGCAUGAGUACAGAAAAAGGUGCUGAGACCAUUGAACUUAAAUGUAAUAGUGGCCCAGGUGAAAUGGAAAACACAUCAAUUGUGGUUGAAGGAAGGACUGAAAGUAGUGAGGUAGACACCAGUGCUGGAAGUAAUGCUGCUUCUUCAGUUUUACAGCAAAGGAACAGAAAAACUGCCAAUGGGACAGCUGGGUCUGGCAGAGCAGGAAAGACUUCUUUUGCCACUAGCACUGCAGGGAAGGUUGAAGGUGUUCCCCUAAACACAGUAAAGGCGGGGGAUGCCACGACCACUUCCUCAGAAACAGGGGAGGGUGAGGUGGUACCCUGCACGAGCAUUGAGGCAGACGAAGGCUUCAUAACAGGUGCAUGCUCUAGAAACAAUCCUCUUCACACUGGGGCAGAAGCCAGCGAAUGCACUGUUUUUGCUGCAGCUGAAGAAGGUGGAGGUGUUGUUACAGAAGGAUUUGCUGAAAGUGAACCCUUCCUCACAAGCACCAAGGAGGGGGAGAGUGGAGAGUGUACUAUGGCUGAAUCUGAAGAAAGGGCAGUGGACCCUGUGACUGCUCAUGAAGUUACGGUUGAAGACAAUGUCAACAGUGGUGUGACAGAGGAGAAAGAUGAUGCUGUCACCAGUGCCGGCUCUGAAGAAAAAUGUGACGGUUCUUCACGUCGAGAUUCGGAAAUUGCUGAAGGAACUAUUACCUUUAUUAGUGAGGUUGAAAGCGAUGGCGCGGUGACAAGUGCUGGGACAGAAAUAAGGGAGGGUUCCUUAAGCAGUGAAGAGGUAGAUGGGUUCCAGAGAAAUAUGACAAGAAUGGGCCCCAAAAAAGAAACUGAGGGGACUGUGACAUGCACCGGAGCAGAAAGGAGAAGCGCUACCUCUGUUAUGUGCUCGAUAACAGGCGCCGAGCGACAGGAGGAGCGCGUGGUUACAGGCGCAGCUGUGGCCCUUGUUAGUAAUGACACACCACCAGGAACCAGUGCCCCCCAGGAAGGAGACGCUUCUGUGAAUGACGGGGCAGAAGGUGAAAGUGCCGUCACCAGCACAGGGAUAACAGAAGAAGAUGGAGAGGGGCCAGCGAGCUGCACAGGUUCAGAAGAGGGCAGUGAGGGCUUUGUCCUAAGUUCUGAAUCAGAAGACAAUGGAGAGAGUGCAAUGGAUAGCACAGUAGCCAAAGAAGGCACUAAUGUGCCAUCAGUCGCGGCUGGGCCAUGUGACGACGAAGGAAUUGUAACCAGCACCGGUGCCAAAGAGGAGGACGAGGAAGGUGAAGGGGUGGUGACCAGUACUGGAAGGGGAAAUGAAAUUGGGCACGCGUCCACUUGCACUGGGACAGAGGAGGAGAAUGAAGGGGUAUCGAUUUGUGGGAGUGCCGAAGAAGGCGACAGUCAGAUCGGUACUGCAGCAGGGCAUGUAGGAGCUGAGGCUGGAAUCACCAUCACCAAUGCCAGCGAGAGCAAUGUUGACAGCAUGAGUGGUGCAGAGAAGGGCAUGAAACAUACGGAGAUCUGCUCCAGUGCAAAAGGGAUUGUAGAAAGCAGCGUGACCAGUGCUGCUUCAGGGAAGGGUGAAGUGGUACGAGUUCCCGAAGGUUGCGAGGGUCCCAUGACUAGUGCAGCUUCAGGUCAGAAUGACGGUUUGCUCACCAGAAAAGAAAAAGUUGAUGAUACCACAAUUUCCACUGGCUUGGUGGGGGGCAGUUACGAGGUACUUGCGUCCAGGGCAGUCCCAGAAUGUGAAGCUGGUCACACAAUGCCGAGUGGAAAAGAAGACGAAGGUAUCAUCACCUCAGUGGACAAUGAAGAAUGCGAUGGCCUUAUGGCCAGUACAGCCAGUGACAGGGUUACCAACCACACUUGUUUAGCUGGGGUUAAGAGUCCAGGCAAAGGCUUGAUGAUUUCCACCAGUACCACGCAUGACUACGCCACUCAGUUAAGCACAGUUGCAGGUGUGGCUGAAGGCCGUUCCAGCGCGCUGAGAACCGGAGAAAAUAUGGAAGGCACCAGAAGAAACAUGGAGGAAUUUGAGGCCCCCAUGCCCAGUGCAGUGUCAGGAGGUGAGAGCCCAGUCCCUGCUGUGAGAAAUGAAGAGAAAGACGAGUGUGCCAUGAUUUCCACGAGCCUAGGGGAAGAGUUCGAAGUGCCCAUUUCCAGCGCCACAACCGUCACGUGUGCAGAAAGUCAGCAGCCAGUGGCCACCGUGGAAGACCGCGCUCAGGGCCCAGGCUUGCUGGGCACCGACGACUUCGAGGGGCCCACGCCCAGCGCACCCACAGCACUGGAGAGCCCACUCGCCUCAACCAGCAAGGAGGACAAAGACGAGUGCGCGCUCAUCUCCACCAGCAUAGCGGAGGAGUGCGAGGCUUCUGUUGGCGGCGCCCAUGCCGGAAGUGAAAAGGCACGACCCGCCACUGUCCUGGAAGAAAAAGACUGGAGCGCUAUCAUCUCCACCAGCUCGGGAGAAGACUGCGAGGGCCCCGUGUCCAGCGCCGCCCCUCGGGAGGACGGCCAGCCCUCGGUCACGCGAGCGGAGGAGAUCAGCGACACCGCCAUGAUUUCCACCAGCACCUCUGAAGGCCGCGAGGCAGUCAUGAUGGGUGCGGUCCCACAGGACGAUGAGCCGCCUGGCACGGCAAGGAUGGAGGACUUGGGUGACGCCGCCAUCAUUUCCACCAGCACGGCCGAGUGCGUGCCGGCGCUUGCCGGCCUCAGCAAGCAGGAGGAGAACCCGCAGACUGCAAGCAACACGGAUGGCAAAGAGCCCCCGUCGGCCGCCGGGAUGAGCAAGGGUGAGGCCCCGAGGCCCAGCCUGUUGGCCAUCAACAGCUGUCCACGCCCUGGGCCGCCGGCAGGGGGCAGAGCGGCGGGCGCCGAGGAGGGGCGCCACAGGGAGGCAGGCAGUGCGCUCUCCGCGGCGGCCGGCCAGCCAUGCGCUGCGCGGGCUCCGGAGGAGGGGCGCAGCCAAGACAGCCCCCGCGAGGUGCCGCUGGCAGGGAAGGGACCGAGUGAAAGCAGUUUGCGCCUCGUAAAUGCUGCAGAGAGGAGUGCGUGGCUGAGCUCUGUUCAGAGUGGACAGGGGAGUCGGGAGGCAGCUACCGCAGGGCACAGCACCUGUCGGGCAGGGAGGGGUGUGCGGAGGGGAGCGGACUCACCUGAGGAUCUCACGGGACCGGAGCAAACGGCGGGACUGACGGCUGAGGACUCCUCCCUCGGGAUCCGCUGCUUGCCAGCAGUAAGUCCCGGUGCUGAGAAAGCCGAUGAUGUGCCACCUGCCAGAGACACUGCAGCAGAGCCGUCCUCUCCUGAGCAGUCCUGGCCCGCAGCCCCCGUGAACACCACCACCACUGAAUGUAUUAAUGGCCAGGAAUCAGAAAUUGGCCCUUCCCACGUGCCAGUCCUUCCAGCUGCCUACAGUGUAGCCCUGUCUGCUCCAAACUGUGAGCAGGACUUGACUAUAAAGAGUGAUCACAAUGGCAAACGGCUGGUUCAAGGGUCCAGUGAGAAAGCAGGAGAUGGUAAUGGCAUGAGGAAAUCAUCCCAGGAGGAAGGGGACCUCAAGGUCACUGUGCCUCCUGAAGAAAAUUUGCAUGACAUAGGCAAUGAAGAGUCUCCGUCGAAUGUCCUGGGAGGAAUGGCACUAAAAGACAGCUUGAAAACUGAGAUAUUUGUACCAUCAGAGGAAGAGAAAAACCGUGAAAUUCUAGCAGCACCAGCAAGUCCAUGUGGGAGAAAGCCAAGUGGAGUAGCCAAACUACAGAGGGAGCCUUUCUUGGUGAAUGAAUCACUUAAUAAUGUCAAAAAUUCGGGCUCAAGAGCAAAUGAAGAAAUUCGUAGCGAAUCUCCUAACAAAGAAGAGAUAUCCAAGAGCAGAAAAGACAACACAGAAGCCUUAGGAGAUCACAGCAUUGAAGCAAAUCCUAAAGAGGUUGAAGAGGAAGAAAGACAGAUACCUAAAAGAAAAAGAAAGAAGCAUUAUCCCUCUUCAGAUGAUGAACUGGAUGAUAAUCCAGAUGUCCUAGAUUCCAAAAUAGAAACAGCACAGAGGCAGUGUUCUGAAACUGAACCACAAGAUACAAAGGAGGAAAACACUGGAGAUUUGGAAGAAUUCUCUAAAACAAGUUCUAAGACAAACAGCACUCCUUCAAGGGCCAUGGACGAAAAGGACGAAUACGGCAGUGGUGAAGCUGCUGGUGAAAAGACCGAGCAGAAUGACGAUGACAACAUGAAAUCUCAGGAGGAAGAUCAGCCAGUAAUCAUUAAAAGGAAAAGAGGAAGACCUCGUAAACACCCCUUAGAAACAGCGUUAAAAACAAAAGAAGACUGCAAAACAGAUACUGGCAUCGUCACUGUAGAACAGUCUCCACCUGGCGGCAAACCAAAAUUAACACAGACAGAUGAGUCCAAUAAAGAAACCACUACCCUACAAGAAAGAAGUAUAAGCAACGAUGAUGGUGAAGAAAAAACAGUAGCAAGUGUGCGGCGGAGAGGAAGAAAGCCCAAGCGUUCGCUCACUCUGUCAGAUGAUGCUGAAUCUUCAGAGCCAGAAAGAAAACGCCAGAAAUCAGUUUCUGAAGCCAUUGAGGACAAGAAAGACCAGGAGUCUGAGGAGGAAGAGGAAGAGGAGGAAGAGGAGGAGCCCUCGGGAGCCACUACAAGGUCCACCACCAGAUCAGAGGCCCAGAGAAAGCAUCAUAGCAAGCCAUCAGCAUGUGCAGCAUCCACGCUUGGCAGCCCAGAAACCAUUUCUGCUAGAAAUCGCCAAAUGUUAGCAAAAGAGAAGUUAUCUACCUGCGAAAAAGUUAGUAAAUCUCCCCUAUUAGGAAGAUAACUGUCUUUUGGGGAUCACUGGUUUCCCAAAUGGAAACCUACUCCAGAAGGUAUUGCAGGGGCUGCAGAAGGAACCUCAGGCCUCGCUUCACGGCCUCCUCCAGACUUGCCUUUGAGCUUUGUGAGCCUUACGCACUGACUCCCGUCCACCAGGACCAAAGGCGAGGCGUGUUUCUUUCCGAGUGGUUGCAGGUCCGAGUACUUGGCUAAACCAGCACGGCAUGGUCAGUCGCAUCACAGCCCAGAAUUGUUUCUGUUUCAGCCAGAGUGUUGGAGAGGCGAUGGGGUAACAGUAAAACAGCCCCUUCCGGCUCAGCCCCUGGCCGGCUCCUGCCGUCCGCAGCCUCAUUCAUCCUACGAGCUUCCCACAGGCUGCGUCCGGCCCGCCUUUGUGGCCUUGGCUUGUGCUGGUUCUUGAGUGCCCUUGCUGUCGGCCGCCAGCAAGCCAGGCACUGCCGUCCUUCACAUUCCCUCCUCAGGAGGCCCCCACUGCUUCAGUUCCUCUCUGUCCUUCCCACGGCACUUCCGGCCUGCUCUGCACGGGAUGGUGGUGUAUGCCCUCUCUGAACUCCAAGCUUCUUCCUUGAGAUGCGGGUCUCGUCUUACUUUCUGUACAUUAUAGCAGCAACAGAUAAAAAGACUCUUCACAGUGUACAAAAAUUGUUGUGACAUCUCUUACAACAGUUGAUCUUCUAGCAUACGGGUAAUGUAGGUACGUGUUAUCAGCCCUGUGUUCUAGAAAGGGAAGCACAGUAAAGUGCCAGGCAUCUUUCAUAUGGAUUCUUCCAUUUAAUCCUCAUUAAGUGAAAUGUUUUAUUUAUCCUUAUUUUAUACGUGAGGGAAGGAAUCUCAGGAAGGUCUGGUCCGUAUUUCUCAAAAUGGACUUGCAGACCAGUUGGGGGAACUCAGUGCUAAGGUUCUGAUUCUGUAGGUCUGGGUUGGGCCUGAGCGUCUGCCUUUCUAAUAGCGCCCAGGUGGUGCUUGUGCCACUGGUCACAGACCACACCACGUUGGGUGCAGGAAGGGGCCUGGCUGACCCCUCGAGCUCACACGGCCCGGAAGAGGCACCCUGACUCACCGCUGUUGUCCCUGCUACGUGGCAUCCAACACAGCGCUGGCGUGCCAGCUACUCAGCGAGGAGGUACUGAGGGGGCGGCCGGUGGCUCUCCCUGCCACGGCCUGAACGGGAGAUCAACAAACACUGCUCGUCAGCUCUUCCCCACACGUGCGUAUCCGCGGACACUGCAUCCCGUACAGCCGUACGUGACUCGGUUUGAGUUUAUUUACUUGGGCCAUCAAAAGAACCGUAAGCAAGACCUGCCUUUCUAUCCGUGCAGCCCCAUUGGUCCAUCUCCUGCAAUUUUGAUUUUCCAGGCCUUUUCCUUCAUGGAUAGAACCAUGGCCGCUUGCUGACACGUGCCUUUGUGCAAGGUGCUGGGGAGAGGAAAAGGAGUAAGACCCAGCAGCUGCUGUGGAGAAGCAUCCUAGCCGGGGAGACAUGUGUCCAGGACUUGCAAGAUUUUUUGGCACCAGCCACACUAAAACUAUGUUGCAGUAUACUUGCAGAGUGCUCACAUUCUGCCCCUAUCACUGCAACAAAAUUCUCAUGAACCAAAUUUAAUAGACGUCGCACCAGUGGUAUUUUCUACUGUGGUCUAUUUGCAUGCUGUUUUAAAGUCAGCCCUCGACACAAGGGUUUGUUUUUUUUGUUGUUGUUUUUUGUUUGUUUGUUUUGGGAGAAAAUCACUUUAUUCUAAUUCACAAAUGAGAACAUGUUUUAAAAUAAUGACUGUAGCCUACAGUUGGAAAAAACCAGCAGGUACAUCACAGUGGUAAGCGCUCUGGUGAAGACACGAAGUGCCGUGGGAUUUCCAGAGAGCAGCUUGCUCUGUGAUCGAAGGCCCAGCUGUCCCCUUCUAGCAAGCGCAAGAGGGAAACCAGUCCCCCCGGAGCCCGAACCAGAGGCCAGCAGAGGGUGGAAGAAGCCCCUUCGAAGAAGGCCAAGCGGUAAUCC